rnacentral:sRNA from 1 species
GCUGGUUGUGGUGGUCCACAUCUGUGAUCCCAGCUACUCAGGAGGCUGAGGCAGGAGGGUUGCAAGUUCAAAGCCAGCCUCAG